GAUGAACGCUGGCGGCGUGCCUAAUACAUGCAAGUCGAGCGAACGGACGAGGCGCUUGCGUCUCUGAUGUUAGCGGCGGACGGGUGUGUAACACGUGGAUCACCUCCCUGUAAGACUGGGAUAACUUCGGAAAACCGGCGCUAAUACCGGAUGAUCUUUUGAACCGCAUGGUUCAAAAGUGAGAUACGGUCUUGCUGUCUGUUAUAGAUGGAUCUCGGCUGCAUUGGCUGGUUGGUAAGGUCACGGGUUACCAAGGCAACGAGGCAUAGCCGACGGCUGAGGCUGGUAGCCCACCUGGGAGCGUGGACACGGUCCAUACUCCUACGGGAGGCAGCAGUAGGGUAUGUGCCGCAAUGGUGGAAAGUCUUGCGGAGUAACGCCACGUGAGUGAUGAAGGCGUUCGGAUCGGAAAACUGUGUUAUUAGUUAUAAACAUAUGUGGAAUUAACUGUGCACAGCGUGACGGUACCUAAUCAGAAAGCACCGGCUAACUACGUG
rnacentral:rRNA from 1 species